rnacentral:rRNA from 1 species
GGGUUGUGAGGUUAAGCGACUAAGCGUACACGGUGGAUGCCCUGGCAGUCAGAGGCGAUGAAGGACGUGCUAAUCUGCGAUAAGCGUCGGUAAGGUGAUAUGAACCGUUAUAACCGGCGAUUUCCGAAUGGGGAAACCCAGUGUGUUUCGACACACUAUCAUUAACUGAAUCCAUAGGUUAAUGAGGCGAACCGGGGGAACUGAAACAUCUAAGUACCCCGAGGAAAAGAAAUCAACCGAGAUUCCCCCAGUAGCGGCGAGCGAACGGGGAGCAGCCCAGAGCCUGAAUCAGUGUGUGUGUUAGUGGAAGCGUCUGGAAAGGCGCGCGAUACAGGGUGACAGCCCCGUACACAAAAAUGCACAUGCUGUGAGCUCGAUGAGUAGGGCGGGACACGUGGUAUCCUGUCUGAAUAUGGGGGGACCAUCCUCCAAGGCUAAAUACUCCUGACUGACCGAUAGUGAACCAGUACCGUGAGGGAAAGGCGAAAAGAACCCCGGCGAGGGGAGUGAAAAAGAACCUGAAACCGUGUACGUACAAGCAGUGGGAGCACGCUUAGGCGUGUGACUGCGUACCUUUUGUAUAAUGGGUCAGCGACUUAUAUUCUGUAGCAAGGUUAACCGAAUAGGGGAGCCGAAGGGAAACCGAGUCUUAACUGGGCGUUAAGUUGCAGGGUAUAGACCCGAAACCCGGUGAUCUAGCCAUGGGCAGGUUGAAGGUUGGGUAACACUAACUGGAGGACCGAACCGACUAAUGUUGAAAAAUUAGCGGAUGACUUGUGGCUGGGGGUGAAAGGCCAAUCAAACCGGGAGAUAGCUGGUUCUCCCCGAAAGCUAUUUAGGUAGCGCCUCGUGAAUUCAUCUCCGGGGGUAGAGCACUGUUUCGGCAAGGGGGUCAUCCCGACUUACCAACCCGAUGCAAACUGCGAAUACCGGAGAAUGUUAUCACGGGAGACACACGGCGGGUGCUAACGUCCGUCGUGAAGAGGGAAACAACCCAGACCGCCAGCUAAGGUCCCAAAGUCAUGGUUAAGUGGGAAACGAUGUGGGAAGGCCCAGACAGCCAGGAUGUUGGCUUAGAAGCAGCCAUCAUUUAAAGAAAGCGUAAUAGCUCACUGGUCGAGUCGGCCUGCGCGGAAGAUGUAACGGGGCUAAACCAUGCACCGAAGCUGCGGCAGCGACGCUUAUGCGUUGUUGGGUAGGGGAGCGUUCUGUAAGCCUGUGAAGGUGUGCUGUGAGGCAUGCUGGAGGUAUCAGAAGUGCGAAUGCUGACAUAAGUAACGAUAAAGCGGGUGAAAAGCCCGCUCGCCGGAAGACCAAGGGUUCCUGUCCAACGUUAAUCGGGGCAGGGUGAGUCGACCCCUAAGGCGAGGCCGAAAGGCGUAGUCGAUGGGAAACAGGUUAAUAUUCCUGUACUUGGUGUUACUGCGAAGGGGGGACGGAGAAGGCUAUGUUGGCCGGGCGACGGUUGUCCCGGUUUAAGCGUGUAGGCUGGUUUUCCAGGCAAAUCCGGAAAAUCAAGGCUGAGGCGUGAUGACGAGGCACUACGGUGCUGAAGCAACAAAUGCCCUGCUUCCAGGAAAAGCCUCUAAGCAUCAGGUAACAUCAAAUCGUACCCCAAACCGACACAGGUGGUCAGGUAGAGAAUACCAAGGCGCUUGAGAGAACUCGGGUGAAGGAACUAGGCAAAAUGGUGCCGUAACUUCGGGAGAAGGCACGCUGAUAUGUAGGUGAAGCGACUUGCUCGUGGAGCUGAAAUCAGUCGAAGAUACCAGCUGGCUGCAACUGUUUAUUAAAAACACAGCACUGUGCAAACACGAAAGUGGACGUAUACGGUGUGACGCCUGCCCGGUGCCGGAAGGUUAAUUGAUGGGGUUAGCGCAAGCGAAGCUCUUGAUCGAAGCCCCGGUAAACGGCGGCCGUAACUAUAACGGUCCUAAGGUAGCGAAAUUCCUUGUCGGGUAAGUUCCGACCUGCACGAAUGGCGUAAUGAUGGCCAGGCUGUCUCCACCCGAGACUCAGUGAAAUUGAACUCGCUGUGAAGAUGCAGUGUACCCGCGGCAAGACGGAAAGACCCCGUGAACCUUUACUAUAGCUUGACACUGAACAUUGAGCCUUGAUGUGUAGGAUAGGUGGGAGGCUUAGAAGUGUGGACGCCAGUCUGCAUGGAGCCGACCUUGAAAUACCACCCUUUAAUGUUUGAUGUUCUAACGUUGACCCGUAAUCCGGGUUGCGGACAGUGUCUGGUGGGUAGUUUGACUGGGGCGGUCUCCUCCUAAAGAGUAACGGAGGAGCACGAAGGUUGGCUAAUCCUGGUCGGACAUCAGGAGGUUAGUGCAAUGGCAUAAGCCAGCUUGACUGCGAGCGUGACGGCGCGAGCAGGUGCGAAAGCAGGUCAUAGUGAUCCGGUGGUUCUGAAUGGAAGGGCCAUCGCUCAACGGAUAAAAGGUACUCCGGGGAUAACAGGCUGAUACCGCCCAAGAGUUCAUAUCGACGGCGGUGUUUGGCACCUCGAUGUCGGCUCAUCACAUCCUGGGGCUGAAGUAGGUCCCAAGGGUAUGGCUGUUCGCCAUUUAAAGUGGUACGCGAGCUGGGUUUAGAACGUCGUGAGACAGUUCGGUCCCUAUCUGCCGUGGGCGCUGGAGAACUGAGGGGGGCUGCUCCUAGUACGAGAGGACCGGAGUGGACGCAUCACUGGUGUUCGGGUUGUCAUGCCAAUGGCAUUGCCCGGUAGCUAAAUGCGGAAGAGAUAAGUGCUGAAAGCAUCUAAGCACGAAACUUGCCCCGAGAUGAGUUCUCCCUGACCCUUUAAGGGUCCUGAAGGAACGUUGAAGACGACGACGUUGAUAGGCCGGGUGUGUAAGCGCAGCGAUGCGUUGAGCUAACCGGUACUAAUGAACCGUGAGGCUUAACCUUACAACGCCGAAG